rnacentral:rRNA from 1 species
UGGUUGAUCCUGCCAGUAGUGUAUGCUUCUCCUAAAGACUAAGCCAUGCAUGCCUUCGAAUACGAGGAAGCAAUUCUCUCUGAAUCUGCGAACGGCUCCGCAAACCAGUUGUAAACUAUAGCAAGCAGGCUUGGGGUUGGCUCUCACGGGCUGGCUUCGGGCGAUAUGGAUAACCCUGGUAAUUCUGAGGCUAAUACAUGAACGUAAAACCUGGCUGACCGGGCUUCGGCCUGGAAGGCUGGGGGAUGUGUGAUUGCAGGCUUGGGUAACACCGGGAAAGGGCGCACGUCCAGACCGCGCUAUAAAGGAUGGGCUCCCUUCGGGGGGCCUGCCCCAGCGGCUCUUGCUGUGUGCUUCUGACCUAUCAACUAGACGGCAGCGUAAGGGACAUGCUAUGGUGACAACGGGUACAGAGGAUUAGGGUUCGAUCCUGGAGAGUGGGCCUGAGAGAUUGCUCAUACUUCUAAGGAAGGCAGCAGGCGCGCAACGUUCCCCUUGGGCAAUGCCCGAGGGCGUUAGGGGACAUAUGAAUGCCUGCCCAUUGGGUGGGCAAUUCAAAUGGGUCUGUUGUAAACAGGCUCUCGAGUAACAAUUAGAGGACAAGUC